UACGGAGGGUGCAAGCGUUGUCCGGAUUUAUUGGGUUUAAAGGGUGCGUAGGUGGUCGUUUAAGUCUGGCCUGAAAGCUGGUUGCUCAACGAUCAGACUGGGUUGGAAACUGGUCGACUUGAAUCAGGUAGCGGUGGCUGGAACGGGUCAUGUAGCGGUGAAAUGCAUAGAUAUGACCCAGAACCCCGAUUGCGAAGGCAGGCCACUGGGCCUUUGAUUGACACUGAGGCACGAGAGCAUGGGGAGCCAA
rnacentral:rRNA from 1 species